CACGUAGGGCGCAAGCGUUGUCCGGAAUUAUUGGGCGUAAAGAGCUCGUAGGCGGUCUGUUGCGUCCGCUGUGAAAACUCGGGGCUUAACCCCGAGCCUGCAGUGGAUACGGGCAGACUAGAGGUAGGUAGGGGAGAAUGGAAUUCCCGGUGUAGCGGUGAAAUGCGCAGAUAUCGGGAGGAACACCGGUGGCGAAGGCGGUUCACUGGACCGGAACUGACGCUGAGGCGCGAAAGCGUGGGGAGCAAACGGG
rnacentral:rRNA from 1 species